GGGGAUGUGGCUCAAGCAGUAGCGCGCUCGCCUGGCAUGCGUGCAGCCUGGGUUCGAUCCCCAGCACCA
rnacentral:tRNA from 1 species